rnacentral:rRNA from 1 species
GACGAACGCUGGCGGCGUGCCUAACACAUGCAAGUCGAACGGAGAUGUUGAUUUCGGUUGACGUCUUAGUGGCGAACGGGUGAGUAACGCGUGAACAAUCUGACCUUAAGAGGGGGAUAACAACGAGAAAUCGUUGCUAAUACCGCAUAAGACCACAAUGCCGCAUGGCGAAGGGGUCAAAGGAGCAAUCCGCUUAAGGAGGGGUUCGCGUCCCAUUAGGUAGUAGGUGAGGUAACGGCCCACCUAGCCGACGAUGGGUAGCCGAGCUGAGAGGCUGAUCGGCCACACUGGAACUGAGACACGGUCCAGACUCCUACGGGAGGCAGCAGUGGGGAAUAUUGGGCAAUGGGCGCAAGCCUGACCCAGCAACGCCGCGUGAGGGAAGAAGGUUUUCGGAUUGUAAACCUCUGUCGCAGAUGACGAAACAAAUGACGGUAAUCUGUGAGGAAGCCCCGGCUAACUACGUG